rnacentral:rRNA from 1 species
UUGAACGCUGGCGGCAUGCCUUACACAUGCAAGUCGAACGGUAACAGGGAGCUUGCUCCGCUGACGAGUGGCGAACGGGUGAGUAAUGUAUCGGAACGUACCAUUCAGUGGGGGAUAACGUAGCGAAAGUUACGCUAAUACCGCAUAUUCUGUGCGCAGGAAAGCAGGGGAUCGCAAGACCUUGCGCUGAUUGAGCGGCCGAUAUCAGAUUAGCUAGUUGGUGAGGUAAAAGCUCACCAAGGCGACGAUCUGUAGCGGGUCUGAGAGGAUGAUCCGCCACACUGGAACUGAGACACGGUCCAGACUCCUACGGGAGGCAGCAGUGGGGAAUUUUGGACAAUGGGCGAAAGCCUGAUCCAGCCAUGCCGCGUGCAGGAUGAAGGCCUUCGGGUUGUAAACUGCUUUUGUACGGAACGAAAAGACUCCUUCUAAUAAAGGGGGUCCAUGACGGUACCGUAAGAAUAAGCACCGGCUAACUACGU